GACGAACGCUGGCGGCGUGCUUAACACAUGCAAGUCGAACGGAAAGGCCCUGCUUUUGUGGGGUGCUCGAGUGGCGAACGGGUGAGUAACACGUGAGUAACCUGCCCUUGACUUUGGGAUAACUUCAGGAAACUGGGGCUAAUACCGGAUAGGAGCUCCUGCUGCAUGGUGGGGGUUGGAAAGUUUCGGCGGUUGGGGAUGGACUCGCGGCUUAUCAGCUUGUUGGUGGGGUAGUGGCUUACCAAGGCUUUGACGGGUAGCCGGCCUGAGAGGGUGACCGGCCACAUUGGGACUGAGAUACGGCCCAGACUCCUACGGGAGGCAGCAGUGGGGAAUAUUGCACAAUGGGCGGAAGCCUGAUGCAGCAACGCCGCGUGCGGGAUGACGGCCUUCGGGUUGUAAACCGCUUUCGCCUGUGACGAAGCGUGAGUGACGGUAAUGGGUAAAGAAGCACCGGCUAACUACGUGCCAGCAGCCGCGGUGAUACGUAGGGUGCGAGCGUUGUCCGGAUUUAUUGGGCGUAAAGGGCUCGUAGGUGGUUGAUCGCGUCGGAAGUGUAAUCUUGGGGCUUAACCCUGAGCGUGCUUUCGAUACGGGUUGACUUGAGGAAGGUAGGGGAGAAUGGAAUUCCUGGUGGAGCGGUGGAAUGCGCAGAUAUCAGGAGGAACACCAGUGGCGAAGGCGGCUCUCUGGGCCUUUCCUGACGCUGAGGAGCGAAAGCGUGGGGAGCGAACAGGCUUAGAUACCCUGGUAGUCCACGCUGUAAACGGUGGGUACUAGGUGUGGGGUCCAUUCCACGGGUUCCGUGCCGUAGCUAACGCUUUAAGUACCCCGCCUGGGGAGUACGGCCGCAAGGCUAAAACUCAAAGGAAUUGACGGGGCCCCGCACAAGCGGCGGAGCAUGCGGAUUAAUUCGAUGCAACGCGUAGAACCUUACCUGGGUUUGACAUGGAUCGGGAGUGCUCAGAGAUGGGUGUGCCUCUUUUGGGGUCGGUUCACAGGUGGUGCAUGGCUGUCGUCAGCUCGUGUCGUGAGAUGUUGGGUUAAGUCCCGCAACGAGCGCAACCCUUGUUCACUGUUGCCAGCACGUUAUGGUGGGGACUCAGUGGAGACCGCCGGGGUCAACUCGGAGGAAGGUGGGGAUGACGUCAAGUCAUCAUGCCCCUCAUGUCCAGGGCUUCACGCAUGCUACAAUGGCUGGUACAGAGAGUGGCGAGCCUGUGAGGGUGAGCGAAUCUCGGAAAGCCGGUCUCAGUUCGGAUUGGGGUCUGCAACUCGACCUCAUGAAGUCGGAGUCGCUAGUAAUCGCAGAUCAGCAACGCUGCGGUGAAUACGUUCCCGGG
rnacentral:rRNA from 1 species